UGUUCUUCAUAAUCAGGACCAGCUUUACACGGUUGAUUGCGGUUCAGCUGAAGGUGUGACUCAUCUUUUUUUAAGCUUCGUUUUUUUUUGGCUCUAUUUGGGGAAUGAUUUUGCAUUGGUUAGGCUUUGUUUCAGUUCAACUGGCCUGCAUUAUCGAUCACUUAAAUCAGUUUCGUCAUCUUAGGGAAUCAUCUAAGAUUUUACGGUUAUCAUUGCAUUUGAUUUGACUUUCUUAUGUUUUGGUCAUAUAGAAUAAAAGAAAAGAAGAAUCUUCAAAUACGAGGAGCUUUCUUUAAAUCAUCUUAAAAAAGUUAAGCUGCUAUCAUUUGCAUGGUUAAAGACAAAAUACCCUACUUUUAUUUUUGACUACCAUUUUUGGCUGCAAGAUCCUAUUUUAUGUUUGGGUGUUAUCCUUAACUUUUGUUUUUUCUAUAUCUUUUUUUUUCCCUCAAACGGUGAACUUUGUAUCUAUUUUACUUUUUUUAAUUCAUUCUGCCACACUUACUUGGGUACAUACAAUUAAUUCAAGAAUUAUUCUUGUUUGGUCAGUAAAUCAAAUUUAGAGUGCAUAAACACACACAUAUUAAGAUACUUCUUUUAAUAAAGGGUUUUGUUAAGUGAUGUCUAUAAAAAUUAUGUCUUAGAAAUAUAAGUUUUUAUUUUUAAUCAAACAAUUGACUUUACAUUUGGAAAAGUGCAUUGUGUGUACACUAUGAAUUUGGUCUUGUGAAAUACAAUAGGACCUUAGACAUCCUAACUGAAUAGUAGCUGAAAAAUUAAUUAACUUUAUGUGACAUAAUGGUGGAGUGGGGAGACCCCUUAAAUCUUAAUUAAAGGCAAAAGGAAAGAUAGAAUAAAGAAAUCCAUGGCAGUUUGGCACAUAUUCUAACCUUGAUGUGUCCGUCUGCUAGCACAUUAAAGGAGCAUCGUUGUCAAAUAUUAGACCUCAUCAGAAGAAGGAAGAAACUCUCCAAUAAUCUAUUCUCACAGAUCACAAGACAUAGAGAGUGGUCAGAUAUACUAUCACAGCAGAAGAGUUAUUAGGAGAUCAGAGAAAGAUAUCAUUCAAGUUAAUUUCAUGGACAGAGUUUCUACCAUCUUUAUCGUAUAUUGUCCUUGAUCUAGACAGAUAAAGGCUUCUUGGUCC
rnacentral:lncRNA from 1 species